GAGCCUAUAACUCAGUUGGUUAGAGUAUACGCCUGAUAAGCGUAAAGUCGGCUGUUCGAAUCAGCCUAGGCUCA
rnacentral:tRNA from 1 species